GAUGAACGCUGGCGGCGUGCCUAAUACAUGCAAGUCGAGCGAACGGACGAGAAGCUUGCUUCUCUGAUGUUAGCGGCGGACGGGUGAGUAACACGUGGAUAACCUACCUAUAAGACUGGGAUAACUUCGGGAAACCGGAGCUAAUACCGGAUAAUCUUCUGAACCGCAUGGUUCAAAAGUGAAAGACGGUCUUGCUGUCACUUAUAGAUGGAUCCGCGCUGCAUUAGCUAGUUGGUAAGGUAACGGCUUACCAAGGCAACGAUGCAUAGCCGACCUGAGAGAGUGAUCGGCCACACUGGAACGGAGACACGGUCAAGACUCCUACGGGAGGCAGCAGUAGGGAAUCUUACGCAAUGGGCGAAAGCCUGACGGAGCAACGCCGCGUGAGUGAUGACGGUCUUCGGAUCGUAAAACUCUGUUAUUAGGGAAAAACAUAUGUGUAAGUAACUGUGCACAUCUUGACGGUACCUAAUCAGAAAGCCACGGCUAACUACGUG
rnacentral:rRNA from 1 species